UGAGGUUCCUCUCAAGGAAAAAUUCUCUUACGCCUUGAAAGUCAACACCAAAAAGCACAAGUGUAGGGGACGAUGUGGGCACCAAGGGACACACACUCUUCCUGAAUCUAUGGGGAGUCUGUAGGGAUGAACACUGCCAGAGGAGGCAGUCAAGGGUCUUUAUUAACUAACCUGGGAGGAGUUAACAAUUAACCUUGUUUUCCACAUGGCUGCCAUUGCACCAGCAACACGGGGAGGAAAAGGAGGCCUACUGAAGCUGGUCAGUCACCGUCUAGUCAGACAACUGAUGGCACCUGCAGAGCACAAGCAAUAUGCCAGCAUCACAGGGGGGAUGAAGAUGCCACUGCCUUCAAGGAACCUACACCUGUGAAGGACCCUCAUGACAACGGAGUCCAGUCGCCCGGCCCGGGCCUGUGCCUCUCGUGCACCACAGCUGACGCGGCCCACGUAUCCGAAUGCUUCCGUGAUAAAUGCCUGCCCCUCCCACUUUGCCAGUCAGGAAGUUCCACAGGAGCACCAGCCACACACUGGGGUCUGUGCAUCACUGUACCCCUGGGGUCGAGCACACAGCAGGUCCUCAAGAGGGCUUAAAAGCAAUCGCCAUAGCAGAAAGAAUACAGAGGACGGCUAUGUUAACCUCUGGCAAGUCGGCACUGACUCCUCGCACCCCUUCAAAAGGCCUGGAGAGAACUCAAAUCCCACUUCUAGGAGCUCCUACCAGUCAACGGCAGCUGAUAACAUUAUCAAGGGAUGGCCCCCAUAAAACGCCGUCUUGUCCUUCCUCUCAGCGGGACAGCUGACAGACUGCACACUCGGAGUAGACUACAAGGGCCAAAGAGGCAAGCAAGUAAAACCGCCCAAUGCUUUGUAUGGAACACAGUCCUUCUACAUUGGAGAGAAAUCCUUGCUGUAAUUAUGUCUAGAAGGAAAAUAAAUAUGAAUGAAGUAA